AGUGAACGCUGGCGGUAGGCCUAACACAUGCAAGUCGAACGGCAGCACAGUAAGAGCUUGCUCUUACGGGUGGCGAGUGGCGGACGGGUGAGGAAUACAUCGGAAUCUACUUUUUCGUGGGGGAUAACGUAGGGAAACUUACGCUAAUACCGCAUACGACCUACGGGUGGAAGCAGGGGAUCUUCGGACCUUGCGCGAUUGAAUGAGCCGAUGUCGGAUUAGCUAGUUGGCGGGGUAAAGGCCCACCAAGGCGACGAUCCGUAGCUGGUCUGAGAGGAUGAUCAGCCACACUGGAACUGAGACACGGUCCAGACUCCUACGGGAGGCAGCAGUGGGGAAUAUUGGACAAUGGGCGCAAGCCUGAUCCAGCCAUACCGCGUGGGUGAAGAAGGCCUUCGGGUUGUAAAGCCCUUUUGUUGGGAAAGAAAAGCAGCAGGUUAAGACCCCGCUGUUCUGACGGUACCCAAAGAAUAAGCACCGGCUAACUUCGU
rnacentral:rRNA from 1 species